GGCUGGGAGGAAAGAAAAAUUCCUCCUACCUCAGACCAAUUGCAAUUCCCAGCCUAAUGGGAGCUCUCUGGAAGAGGCUGGAAGAAGACCAAUGCUUUGUGUCCAGAAAAAAGCCUCGAGGAGCAGAGAAAACCAAAAACACUAAGACUGGUGGUUUUGAUGACAAAUAUUCCCUGCUGCACAGUUAAAUUUGAAGAAUUGAUUGAGGUAUCCAGA